rnacentral:rRNA from 1 species
CCUACGGGAGGCUGCAGUGGGGAAUAUUGGACAAUGGGGGCAACCCUGAUCCAGCCAUGCCGCGUGUGUGAAGAAGGCCCUCGGGUUGUAAAGCACUUUCAGUGAGGAAGAACGCCUGGUGGUUAAUACCCAUCAGGAAAGACAUCACUCACAGAAGAAGCACCGGCUAACAUCCGUGCCAGCAGCCGCGGUAAUACGGAGGGUGCGAGCGUUAAUCGGAAUUACUGGGCGUAAAGCGCGCGUAGGUGGCUUGAUAAGCCGGUUGUGAAAGCCCCGGGCUCAACCUGGGAACGGCAUCCGGAACUGUCAAGCUAGAGUGCAGGAGAGGAAGGUAGAAUUCCCGGUGUAGCGGUGAAAUGCGUAGAGAUCGGGAGGAAUACCAGUGGCGAAGGCGGCCUUCUGGACUGACACUGACACUGAGGUGCGAAAGCGUGGGUAGCAAACAGGAAUAGAUACCCGAGUAGUC